ACUCCUACGGGAGGCAGCAGUGGGGAAUAUUGCACAAUGGGCGCAAGCCUGAUGCAGCAACGCCGCGUGAGCGAUGAAGGCCUUCGGGUCGUAAAGCUCUGUCCUCAAGGAAGAAUAAAUGACGGUACUUGAGGAGGAAGCCCCGGCUAACUACGUGCCAGCAGCCGCGGUAAUACGUAGGGGCAAGCGUUAUCCGGAAUCACUGGGCGUAAAGGGUGCGUAGGCGGUUUUCAAGUCAGAAGUGAAAGGCUAUGGCUCAACCAUAGUAAGCUUUUGAAACUGUUAAACUUGAGUGCAGGAGAGGAAAGUGGAAUUCCUAGUGUAGAGUGAAAUUCGUAGAUAUUAGGAGGAACACCGAGUGGCGAAGGCGACUUUCUGGACUGUAACUGACGCUGAGGCACGAAAGCGUGGGAGCGAACAGGAUUAGAUACCCUGGUAGACUGUCA
rnacentral:rRNA from 1 species